GAUGGCGACCGGCGCACGGGUGAGUAACACGUAUCCAACCUACCUAUUACUCGGGUAUAGCCUUUCGAAAGAAAGAUUAAUCCCCGAUACGAUAUUGAGUUCGCAUGAAUUUGAUAUGAAAGAUUUAUUGGUAUUAGAUGGGGAUGCGUUCCAUUAGAUUGUUGGUGAGGUAACGGCUCACCAAGUCUUCGAUGGAUAGGGGUUCUGAGAGGAAGGUCCCCCACACUGGAACUGAGACACGGUCCAGACUCCUACGGGAGGCAGCAGUGAGGAAUAUUGGUCAAUGGGCGAGAGCCUGAACCAGCCAAGUAGCGUGAGGGAUGACUGCCCUAUGGGUUGUAAACCUCUUUUAUAAGGGAAUAAAAGGGUCCACGAGUUGGAUUUUUGCAUGUACCUUUUGAAUAAGGAUCGGCUAACUCCGUGCCAGCAGCCGCGGUAAUACGGAGGAUCCGAGCGUUAUCCGGAUUUAUUGGGUUUAAAGGGUGCGUAGGCGGACUGAUAAGUCAGCUGUGAAAGUUUGCGGCUCAACCGUAAAAUUGCAGUUGAAACUGUUAGUCUUGAGUGUACAUAAGGUAGGCGGAAUUCGUGGUGUAGCGGUGAAAUGCUUAGAUAUCACGAAGAACUCCGAUU
rnacentral:rRNA from 1 species